rnacentral:rRNA from 1 species
GUGUCAGCAGCCGCGGUAAGACGAACCGUGCGAACGUUAUUCGGAAUCACUGGGCUUAAAGGGCGCGUAGGCGGGCAGGCAAGUCAGGGGUGAAAGCCCACGGCUCAACCGUGGAAGGGCCUUUGAAACUGCCUGUCUGGAGGGAGGUAGGGGCGUGCGGAACUUCCGGUGGAGCGGUGAAAUGCGUAGAUAUCGGAAGGAACACCGGUGGCGAAAGCGGCGCGCUGGACCUCUUCUGACGCUGAGGCGCGAAAGCCAGGGGAGCAAACGGGAUUAGAAACCCUUGUAGUCC